UCAUGACUGUGCCUACAAAGGAGGGCGUGUGCUUAAAAGUUCCUAACUUUAAGAGUAUCACGUAAAGCCUAGUCGGAGGCCCAAACUUCCGAGUUCUUUUACAGGACUUAGGAAAACUGAAGGACCACUGCAAUAAGUGUGUGAAUCUGA